rnacentral:rRNA from 1 species
AUUCCAACUCCAAAAGCAUAUAUUAAAGUUGUUGCGGUAAAAAAGCUCGUAGCUGGAUUUCUGCUGAGGAUGACCAGUCCGCUCUCCGAGUGCGUAUCUGGCUCAGCCUUGGCAUCUGCCUGAAGAGCGUAUCCGCACUUGACUGUGUAGUGUGGUAUCUAAGACAUUUACUUUGAGGAAAUUAGAGUAUUUCAAGCAAGCGCACGCCUUGAAUACAUUACCAUUGAAUGAUAAGAUAGGACUUCGGUUCUUUUUUGUUGGCGUCUAGACGAGGUAAUGAUUUAUAGGGAUACUUGGGGGCAUUCGUAUGUAACCGUCGGAGGUGAAAUUCUUGGAUUUGUUAAAGACGGACUGCCGCGAAAGAGCUUGCCAAGGAUGUUUUCAUCG